GUCGAGAAUCUUUCACAAUGGGGGCAACCCUGAUGGAGCGACGCCGCGUGGAGGAUAAGGUCUUCGGAUUGUAAACUCCUGUCAUGCGUGAACAAGGUUGCUUGGUUAAUACCUGGGCAAAUUGAUGGUAACGCAAGAGGAAGAGACGGCUAACUCUGUGCCAGCAGCCGCGGUAAUACAGAGGUCUCAAGCGUUGUUCGGAAUCACUGGGCGUAAAGGGUGCGUAGGUGGCGUGGUAAGUCAGAUGUGAAAGCCCGGGGCUCAACCUCGGAACGGCAUCCGAUACUGCCAUGCUAGAGUACUGGAGAGGUGACUAGAAUUCUCGGUGUAGCAGUGAAAUGCGUAGAUAUCGAGAGGAAUACCAAAGGCGUAGGCAGGUCACUGGACAGUUACUGACACUGAGGCACGAAGGCCAGGGGAGCGAACGGGAUUAGAAACCCCAGUAGUCC
rnacentral:rRNA from 1 species